GGCCUGUGUUUUAACUCACGAGGUUUUUUGUGUUUUAUUUCCAAUUUAUAUUUUUUGGUGUGAGACAACACCGCCAUGUGGCAUCUCUGUUGAAAAGUUAACCUAAAAUCAUAUUAGGCCUACUCAGGUCCUAACAAUAACAAUAUAGGCACUUUCAAGUAUUUUUAUGGGUGUGAUACACGUUUGUUUAUAACGAUGUUUAUAAACUUUAUGAUAGGUUUAACUAUAACAUAAGGGAGUGAUUUUAUAAUUUGCAUUUAAUUAGUUUUUCAUCUGUUUGGGAGAUCACAAAAUAAAUGAAAAAACACUUCAUUAAUUUCGUGGACAAAGUCUGUCAUGUUUCCAUUUAGUGACCACAAAGCAAAUAUUUGUGACAAAAUGCCAUAUUUGGAACACUGCCUAACUGCGUAUUGUGAACGGGUCCCCGGAAAAGUGUUAUGACAAAUGUUUUUUUUUUUUGGUUAGGUACUACAAGAAAGACAUUGAAGAAGUUUCAACACCAGGAAAAAAGAGGAAAAAAAAGGCCACAGGAAGGAAAGUCACUUGACACAGUCGACGAUUUCACAGUAAAUGCAAUCAGGAAUGCAAUUUACAGGAUGUACGCUGAAGGUUUGAAUGUUACAGUCGACACCAUUUUGAAAGAAAUCAGGGAAAGACAAAUAGAUUAUUAUGGUGGAAGAUCAAGUCUUCAUAAAUUGUUAAAGAAGAUGGGAUUUUCAUGGACAACUGUUGAUGGACGAAAAGCUUUGAUAGAGAAUGAAAACAUAGUAUUGCAGCGAAUAGAUUUCUUGAGAAAGUAUAAAGAAGAAAAAGAAAGAGGAACUGUAUCAAAGUCAUGGCAGGACAAGAGUCUACAAUCUGCGAAGAGACGUACUGUUGGAGAUGGUAAUAGGUUUAUUGUUGU